GACGAACGCUGGCGGCGUGCUUAACACAUGCAAGUCGAACGGAAAGGCCCCUUUGGGGGUACUCGAGUGGCGAACGGGUGAGUAACACGUGAGUAACCUGCCCUUGACUUCGGGAUAACUUCAGGAAACUGGGGCUAAUACCGGAUAGGAAUCCUUGCUGCAUGGUGGGGGUUGGAAAGCUUCGGCGGUUUUGGAUGGACUCGCGGCUUAUCAGCUUGUUGGUGGGGUAGUGGCUUACCAAGGCUUUGACGGGUAGCCGGCCUGAGAGGGCGACCGGCCACAUUGGGACUGAGAUGCGGCCCAGACUCCUACGGGAGGCAGCAGGGGGGAAGAUUGCACAAUGGGCGGAAGCCUGAUGCAGCAACGCCGCGUGCGGGAUGACGGCCUUCGGGUUGUAAACCGCUUUCAGCAGGGGCGAAGCUUGUGGUGACGGUACCUGCAGAAGAAGCACCGGCUAACUACGUG
rnacentral:rRNA from 1 species